rnacentral:rRNA from 15 species
GGGAGCGAUAAUGCCAGCAAAAAAUCUCCGGAUCCCAUCAGAACUCCGAAGUUAAGCCGUGCUUGGGCAAGAGUGGAACUAGGAUGGGUGACCCCCUGGGAAGUCCUCGUGUUGCACUCC